AAAAACAUGGCCUUUUGAUUAUAAUUUAAGGUCUGACCUGCCCUAUGAUUUUUAAAUGGCCGCAGUAUUUUGACUGUGCAAAGGUAGCAUAAUCAGUAGUUUUUUAAUUGAAAGCUGGAAUGAAAGGUUUGAUGAGAAAAAGACUGUCUCUAUAAAAAUUUAUUUGAAUUUUAUUUUUAAGUAAAAAAGCUUAAAUAAAAAUAGAAGACGAGAAGACCCUAUAGAUUUUUAUAUUUGAUUAUAAUUGAAACUUUAGUAUUUUAAUUUUUGGUUAUUAGAUAAUAUUUGGUUGGGGUGAUUGGAAAAUUAAAUUAACUUUUCUUUAUUUUUACAUUGAUUUAUGAAUAUAUGAUCCUUAUUUUAAGAUUAAAAGAUAAAAUUACCUUAGGGAUAACAGCGUAAUUUUUUUUAAGAGUUCUUAUCGAAAAAAAAGUUUGCGACCUCGAUGUUGGAUUAAAGUUUAUUUAUGGUGUAGAAGCUAUAUGAUUAGGUCUGUUCGACCUUUAAAACUUUACUUGAUCUGAGU
rnacentral:rRNA from 1 species